rnacentral:rRNA from 1 species
GACGUAGGGUCCAAGCGUUGUCCGGAUUUACUGGGCGUAAAGGGCGCGUAGGCGGUCAGCACAAGUCAGUUGUGAAAUCUCCGGGCUUAACUCGGAAAGGUCAACUGAUACUGUGCGACUAGAGUGCAGAAGGGGCAACUGGAAUUCUCGGUGUAGCGGUGAAAUGCGUAGAUAUCGAGAGGAACACCUGCGGCGAAGGCGGGUUGCUGGGCUGACACUGACGCUGAUGCGCGAAAGCGUGGGGAGCGAUCCGG